GGUAAGCAGUAACAACGAACCCACAGAAGUCAGCAGAUGCCAUAUUAGUCGUCGCCUUAAAGCUCGUGGGCGGCGAUGAAGGGC
rnacentral:ncRNA from 1 species